rnacentral:rRNA from 1 species
GAUGAACGCUGGCGGCGUGCCUAAUACAUGCAAGUCGAGCGAACGGACGAGAAGCUUGCUUCUCUGAUGUUAGCGGCGGACGGGUGAGUAACACGUGGAUAACCUACCUAUAAGACUGGGAUAACUUCGGGAAACCGUAGCUAAUACCGGAUAAUAUUUUGAACCGCAUGGUUCAAAAGUGAAAGACGGUCUUGCUGUCACUUAUAGAUGGAUCCGCGCUGCAUUAGCUAGUUGGUAAGGUAACGGCUUACCAAGGCAACGAUGCAUAGCCGACCUGAGAGGGUGAUCGGCCACACUGGAACUGAGACACGGUCCAGACUCCUACGGGAGGCAGCAGUAGGGAAUCUUCCGCAAUGGGCGAAAGCCUGACGGAGCAACGCCGCGUGAGUGAUGAAGGUCUUCGGAUCGUAAAACUCUGUUAUUAGGGAAGAACAUAUGUGUAAGUAACUGUGUACAUCUUGACGGUUCCUAAUCAGAAAGCCACGGCUAACUACGUG